CCCUUAGAUGUUCUGGGCCGCACGCGCGCUACACUGAUACGUUCAGCGAGUAUAUAACCUUGAUUGGAAAAUCUGGGUAAUCUUUUGAAUGCGUAUCGUGCUAGGGAUAGAUUAUUGCAAUUAUUAAUCUUGAACGAGGAAUUCCUAGUAAACGCAAGUCAUCAGCUUGCAUUGAUUACGUCCCUGCCCUUUGUACACACCGCCUGUCGCACAAACCGAUUGAAUGAUUCGGUGAAAAUUUUGGACAUCGAGAGUGGUGAUUAAUUUCGUUGCUCUUAAAUGGAAAGAAUUUAAACCUAAUUAUUUAGAGGAUUGUGAAGUCAUAACA
rnacentral:rRNA from 1 species